rnacentral:tRNA from 1 species
GGAGAGAUGGCUCAGUGGUUAAGAGCACUGGAUGGUCUUCCAGAGGACCCAGGUUCGAUUCCUAGCACCC